GUGAACUCCCAGGUGCGCUCCGGGCCGGUCAGCACCGCGUCCCCGAAGUACUCCCCGUCGGCCAGCAGCCCCAGCGUCGUGCCCUCGUCGUACGCCCCGGGCGCGAUCUGCCGGACCUUGCCGUGGGCGAUGAGGUACACCUGAUCGGCCGGGCGCCCCGCCUCGACCAGCACAUCGCCCGGCGCGUACUCCCGCUGUACGCAGCCGUCCGCCAGCGCCUCCAGCACCGCGGUGUCGCCGAAGCCGCGCAGCGUCGGCAGCUCACCCAGCUCCGGCGGAAUCACCCGCACCUCGGAUCCGGUGCUGAUGAACUCGAUCCGUCCGUCCCCGACCGUGUAGGUGAGCCGCCGGUUCACCCGGUACGUACCGGCCGACACCUGGACCCAGGGCAGCACGCGCAGCAGCCACCGGGAGGAGAUGGCCUGCAUCUGCGGCACGGACUUGGUCGUGGUCGCCAGAUUCCGGGCUGCGGCCGUACCCAGACUCUGCGGCUGCUCACCG
rnacentral:antisense_RNA from 1 species